UACGGAGGAUCCGAGCGUUAUCCGGAUUUAUUGGGUUUAAAGGGUGCUCAGGCGGGCCAUUAAGUCGGCGGUGAAAUUUUGCGGCUCAACCGUAAAAGUGCCUUCGAUACUGGUGGUCUUGAGUGUGGAUGAGGUAGGCGGAAUUUGUGGUGUAGCGGUGAAAUGCAUAGAUAUCACGAGGAACUCCGAUUGCUAAGGCAGCUUAUUAAGCCAUAACUGACGCUCAAGCACGAAGGCGUGGGGAUCAAACAGGAUUAGAUACCCGUGUA
rnacentral:rRNA from 1 species